UCUCCGUAGGUGAACCUGCGGAGGGAUCAUUACCGAGUGAGCGCUCCGGCGCGACCUCCAACCCCAUGUUUUCCGACUCCGUUGCCUCGGGGGCGACCCGGCCUUUGGGCGUCGGGGCCCCCGGUGGUCCACACCUCAACUCUUGCAUCUGUGCGUCUGAGUAACAUAUUGAAUCAAUCAAAACUUUCAACAACGGAUCUCUUGGUUCUGGCAUCGAUGAAGAACGCAGC
rnacentral:misc_RNA from 1 species